UGUCCUCACUACUGUAAAUCACUCUGGAUAAGAGUGUCUGCUAAAUGACAACAA
rfam:Salmo salar isolate Sally breed double haploid chromosome ssa11, whole genome shotgun sequence.